GACGAACCGUGCGAACGUUGUUCGGAAUCACUGGGCUUAAAGGGCGCGUAGGCGGGUGCGUAAGUCCGGGGUGAAAGCCCCCGGCUCAACCGGGGAAUAGCUUCGGAUACUGCGCAUCUGGAGGGGGGUAGGGGCAGACGGAACUUCCGGUGGAGCGGUGAAAUGCGUUGAUAUCGGAAGGAACGCCGGUGGCGAAAGCGGUCUGCUGGAUCCUUUCUGACGCUGAGGCGCGAAAGCCAGGGGAGCGAACGGG
rnacentral:rRNA from 1 species